rnacentral:rRNA from 1 species
CCUACGGGGGGCAGCAGUAGGGAAUUUUCGUCAAUGGGGGGAACCCUGAACGAGCAAUGCCGCGUGAGUGAAGAAGGUCUUCGGAUCGUAAAGCUCUGUUGUAAGAGAAAAACGGAUAUCAUAGGGAAUGAUGAUAUCGUGAUGGUAUCUUACCAGAAAGCCACGGCUAACUACGUGCCAGCAGCCGCGGUAAUACGUAGGUGGCAAGCGUUAUCCGGAAUGAUUGGGCGUAAAGGGUGCGUAGGCGGCAAAAUAAGUCUGAAGUAAAAGGCGUUGGCUCAACCAACGUAAGCUUUGGAAACUGU